rnacentral:misc_RNA from 1 species
CUCCAGUACUCGAUACAAUGCCCCCACCUCAGCUCAGCUCGAAUCUAACUCGCUCCUCACUACAUUGGCUUGCAAGGUUUUCAGAGCAAGCCUCGAAACACAAGUUUCCUGGCAGACACCGAUUGUGAUGUUUUUACUGAUGACACUCCACAAGUAUGUGUACCAGCUUUCCGUUUAGUUUGCGGCAUUCCUUGUAUUCAGGCAACCCUGAGAGACAUGCACACUCAACCACCUCAGCACCAGCACGUUCUAGGAGUCUCAUUGCAG